rnacentral:rRNA from 1 species
UACGUAGGGGGGCUAGCGUUGUCCGGAUUUAUUGGGCGUAAAGAGCGUGUAGGCGGCCAGGUAGGUCUGGUGUGAAAACUCGAGGCUUAACCUCGAGAUGUCAUCGGAAACCAUCUGGCUAGAGUCCGGAAGAGGAGAGUGGAAUUCCUGGUGUAGCGGUGAAAUGCGCAGAUAUCAGGAAGAACACCAAUGGCGAAAGCAGCUCUCUGGGACGGUACUGACGCUGAGACGCGAAAGCGUGGGAGCGAACAGG